GGAUGUUCAUACAUGCCUGGUUCCAAACCCGAAGGUUUUUAAUCUUGCUCAACAAUAAUAUGUAAUUCAACAUAUAUGUAUACGGGUAAUUGACAAAGGUAUAUCAACAUGUGAAUAAAUGCCAUGAUUAUCCAAGUGGGGACACUUGUAUAACCAUUUAGAAAUCAACUUAACAGAAUAUAUAUCUGAGCUAACAUGUUGAUAAUCAAAGCGUACAUAAUCUGUACAGGAAUAGAAUAAUUCUGAAACUUCUUACUCAUGUCCAUUGCAUAAAGGAAAUGCAAAGGUAAGAUACUUGCCUGAUUCGCUGAUUACAAAUCUCAACUUAGGUUUUAUCUCUUUAUCACAACCUAUCAAUAAUCAGAUCAUUCGUUCGAUUAGAACAAUAUAUCAUAACACAUAGUACUGUCUAUUACAGUCAGCACAUAGUCUAAUCACGUCAUCACAUAAUCGCAGUGAUCAUACUUUUAGUUCAUAUUCUAUACUUGAAAUAUUUUUAUACAUUUUUCAAAUAUCUCAUCCAUGCUCUUACAGAAGUCUUUUCUUUCUAUUAUAGGGUCUGACAUUUGUCGGCGUACCGACAGCUUUAUCGGGUAAAUACUGAGUCUAAGACUCUUAUCCUAUACCUCAACAUCUGUAAAUAUCAAACAUUUUAUUUUUAAUCAUUUUCGAAUUUUCCAGAAAUUGAAAAAUUUAAAAUAAUUCAAAUCUGUCACUACCGGGCCUAUAGUGAUAUAACUGUUACUAUAGGUGUUCCUCAAAACUUCAUAACUUCAUAAUCGGUUCUCAAGUCAGCUAGUUUGGCCGGCUAUAACUUUCAAACAUCGGAAUCAUAAUUAAAUGAUUUAAACAUUAAACAAUUCCAUUAUCAUUAAUAAUUAAUUUAUAUUAAACUAUUAAUGAAACCAUUGCCAAAAUAUAAAAGUUAUUUAUAAUAACUCAAACUAUUUUUAAAACAUUUAUAUUACCCUUAAAUGAUUUUUAAAACAAUUAAAAUCAUUUUUAAAUAAUCACCAUUAAUAUAUAAAUAUUAAUGUACUAUUCAUCCAAAUAUUAAAAGUCAUUAAUUAUAACUUAAAAUAUUUUUAAAUCCUUAAUAUCCUCUUUAAAUGAUUUUUAAAUAAAUAAAACCAUUUUUAAACUAUUUAUUUAAUAAUAAUUAUUAAAUAAACUAAAUAUCAUUAAUAUUAUCUUAAUAUCAUUAAUAUUAAAUUAUUAAUGAAAUUAUCCUUUAAAUAUUAAAAGUUAUAUUUUAUAACUUAAAAUAUUUUUAAAUACCUUAAUUUCAUUUAAAAUGAUUUUUAUAAUAUUAAAAUCAUUUUUAAACUAAAUUAUUUAAUAUAAUCAUUAAAUAACUUUAAUAUCAUUAAUAUAUAAUUAAUUAAUGAAAUUCAUCACAAAAUAUUAAAAGUCAUGGAAAAUAACUCAAAAUAUUUUCUUAUACCAUAAAAUAAUUUUUCAUGAUUUUUCAUGAAUUAAAACUAUUUUUAAAUCAUUUAUUUAAUAUUAUAAUUAAAUAAAUAAAUACCUUUUAUAUUUCAAAAAUAUUAAAUAUUUAUGAAAUAUACUCAAAAUAAUUAAAAACUAUUUUUCAGACUUUAAAAUAAUUUUUCAUAAUUUAUUUGGUAUUUUUAAUAAUUAAAAACUAAUUUUUCUAAUUUUUAAAUUAAUUUCCGGAAAAUCAGAAAUUAAAAUAAUUAAAACUGUCGCUAAAGGCCCCUAUAGUGACAGAACCGUCGCUAUAGGUGUUCUUGAGCCUACCCAGAUCUUCAUAAGGCAGAACCGAGUGGGCUACUUUGACCGUGAAUAACUCUCUCAUCUUAACGAAUUUGGACAAUCUAUAAAUUGGGUCUUGUAGAGGAAAUACAAGACUACAAGAUCCAACAAACAUAACCUCUAAAAAACAUCAGAUCUGGGAGAAAACGAACCUCAAAGUAGCUGCCAAAGCUGUUCUUCACGAAAAACAGCUUCGAGGUGCCUACUUUGGACCUCUAUAACUUGGUGAUCGUGUAACAUUUUUGUGCUCUAUCACUUCUAGUGUGUAGACAACAUGGAGGAAUACAACUACAAACCUUAACAUCAUCAUAAUACCAUCAGAUCCAACUAGAAAUCUCCGGUCAAAGUGCACCACGGAAAUUGUGCACAAAAUUUCUGGAUUCGCAAUUUUGGCAGUUUUGGUCAACGGGGUUUUGACCGUUUAUAUCUUGUGAUCUAUAAUAGAUAUGGCCUUGAUUCUUUUUGAAUCUUAAAGACCUCAUAACAAGCUACACAUAACAUCUUACAAACACCAAAAAAAGUAAAUAAUCACAGAGAUAUAAGGCUUGACAUUUGCCCAAAAAUAACAGAAUUCGGUUUUACAAAAGUUGGAAAAACUUUGAUUUUGAGCACUUUGAUGUUAUGGGUUCUGAAUUUAACAACCCAGAACAUUAAUAGACUCCUUAUUACACAACUUUAAACAAUCAAUUGCAUCAAUUAACAUCGAAUCGAAGGAUUUCUAAAUUAGAGAAUUUCAUACCUUUUCUAGCUUCGAUUUUUGAUUUUUUUGGCUUUGAUGCUUCUGAUUUGUUGUUUGUGGUGGCUGGGCUUUGAUUAGGAGCUUAUGGGCAAGGCAAAUUCGUUGGCUAGAGUUUGAGAGAGUGUGUCUAGAGAGUUAUUAUAAUUUUAGUG
rnacentral:lncRNA from 1 species